rnacentral:misc_RNA from 1 species
GUCGGCCGAGGGAAGGGC